rnacentral:rRNA from 1 species
UACGUAGGGGGCAAGCGUUGUCCGGAUUUAUUGGGCGUAAAGGGCUCGUAGGCGGCCAACUAAGUCAGACGUGAAAUCCCCAGGCUUAACCUGGGAACUGCGUCUGAUACUGGAUGGCUUGAAUUCGGGAGAGGGAUGCAGAAUUCCAGGUGUAGCGGUGAAAUGCGUAGAUAUCUGGAGGAAUACCGGUGGCGAAGGCGGCAUCCUGGACCGAGAUUGACGCUGAUGAGCGAAAGCUAGGGGAGCAAACGGG